rnacentral:rRNA from 1 species
CCCUUAGAUGUUCUGGGCUGCACGCGUGCUACACUGAUAUUGCCAAUAUGUCAUUCUUAUCCGAAAUGGAUUGGGUAAUCAAGUAAUGAAAUUUCAUGCUUGGAAUCGGUAAUUGCAAUUUUAUCGUGAACGAGGAAUUCCUAGUAAGCACUAGUCAUCAGCUAAUGUUGAUUAUGUCCCUGCCCUUUGUGCACACCGCCCGUCGCUACUACUGAUUGGGUGUUCAAGUGAGAUGCUUAGACCCUUGUUGCAUGGUUCAUUAUUGUGCUCCGAAAGGAAAAAGUUUCAAGCUUGAGUGUCUAGAGGAAGUAAAAGUCGUAACA